rnacentral:rRNA from 1 species
GAUGAACGCUGGCGGCGUGCCUAACACAUGCAAGUCGAACGGAGUCGUUUUGGAAAUCUCUUCGGAGAUGGAAUUCUCGACUUAGUGGCGGACGGGUGAGUAACGCGUGAGCAAUCUGCCUGUAAGAGGGGGAUAACAGUCGGAAACGGCUGCUAAUACCGCAUAAAUCAUUAAAUUCGCAUGUUUUUGAUGCCAAAGGAGCAAUCCGCUUUUAGAUGAGCUCGCGUCUGAUUAGCUAGUUGGCGGGGUAACGGCCCACCAAGGCGACGAUCAGUAGCCGGACUGAGAGGUUGAACGGCCACAUUUGGACUGAGACACGGCCCAGACUCCCUCGCGAGGCAGCAGUGGGGAAUAUUGCGCAAUGGGGGAAACCCUGACGCAGCAACGCCGCGUGAUUGAAGAAGGCCUUCGGGUUGUAAAGAUCUUUAAUCAGGGACGAAACAAAUGACGGUACCUGAAGAAUAAGCGCCGGCUAACUACGUG